CAGCAAGGCUGUGAGGAGGGAUGACUCUCCCAUAGACCUGCGUGGUGGGCCCUCUCGGCCAGCCGCUCCCAGCUCUGGUUGCACAUUGGAUGCUCCUAGGAGAGCGUUUAAAAAAUGCUGAUGACUGGGCCACACCAUAGACACAGUAAAUCUGAACCACUGGGGUUGGAGCCCAGUAACUGAAUGAUUUUUAAAGCUCUCCUGGUGAUUUUAAUGUGAUGUCAGGAUGAAGAAUCAUAGGCUGAGGCCAAAGGCUCCAGGCUCGAGGACAGCAGUUUAGCACCAUCCGUGAUGUUAACUGGAUGUAAAACGGAGUGAAUCAUCACAAACUGAACAACCUGUGAAACCAGCACCCAGAUGGAGAAACAGAAUUUGCUAAUUUUGAAUUCACAAAACAGAAUUUUUCUGGGCUCCGGGAAGCCCCUCCCCCAUCCCUUUCCACUCUCUAUCCCUCCUUCCAGAAGGGCAGCCACUCUCCUAACUCCCAACAGAAGAUAAUUUUGCCUGCGUUUAGUUUUCCAUCAGUCAUUUAAAUGGACUCACCUGGGCUCAGCUUCUCUCCCUCAACCUGUUGGUGAUUUCCAUUUGUGUUCAGUGGUAUGUAGUUGUAGAUUUUUCAUUCCCUUUGCUGAAGAGUAUUCAUUGUGUUUAUUUUUAUGGUGACUUUCUAUGUGUAAUACACAGAUGCCGGUUUUCUAUUUACCUCCAUCUCUACAUGUUCAAAUUACAAAACAAUAAAACAAAUCGAGUUCAUUUAAAAA
rnacentral:lncRNA from 10 species